CUAGUAUUUAUAUAUAUAGAAAGCAUAUACAUUAGGAUUAAUCCCUGUUCAAAAAGUCGGGCGCCUAGCCGCCUAGGCAGCCGCCUAGUCGGUGAUCGGCAGUCAACCGCCGCGAUUUUAAUUUACCGAUUUUGCGGCCGUUUAAUAAUUAAACGUUGAAAAUCGGUUAAAAGUCACCGAUUUAUUAUAAAAUUUUAUACUGAAUUUUGACCAAAACUCAAAAAUUGAUUGGGCCUACAUAAGCCCACACGAGCUAUACUAUGACAAAUAGAAACAAUUAGUAGGGUCAUUUAUAAGAAGUCGAUUCCAUGCUUCCUUCCUACUAUUACCGAUGUGGGACUUUGUGAUUUUGAGUUUUGUAGAGAUACUACUUUCACAUAACGUGGCAACUGGCAAGUGAUAUCAAUUCAGUAGUCA
rnacentral:lncRNA from 1 species